UAUUCAUCAAAGAAUGAGAAACAGAUGUUGCAAGAGCCUUGCAUAUAUUUUCUUGUUGAUGUUCUUUUCUUUCUCCAAUAUGCAAAUUAAUUCCUUCUGAGCAUGGAGGUUGAUCCACUGGAAUAUCUGCUUUGUUUGAUGCUUUCUCUACCACUGGGCUCAAAACCGUUGGACUGAUUCCUUUGGCUGAGACUUCUUUCUUUCGCUUUCCAAUAUGGAGUUGAUGCAAUAUGCAAGAGGAAACUGAUUCCAGAAGAUUUUCUUCUUUCUGGACACCCUCUGCACCUUGGAAAAAUUUCCUGUACUUCUGAAUGAAACAGUGACAAAGACGAGCUAGUACCAUCUGAAGAUGGCUCAUGACUUUCACUAAAGUGACUUAUGCGAUAUUUACUUUCACUGGUACUUGCCCGUGUUGGUUCAUCUGGCAGUGAAACUCUGUCUCCAGAGUUACCUUCAUUUCCUUCAGAUGGAAUCUCAACUGGCCUUUGAAAAUUUAAAAAGAACUCCCCAUACUCCUAGGAAAAGACUGACAGCUCUAUAGCCAUGGCAACAAGCAACUGAUGGCAGACUUUCCCAGGAACACACAUCUAAGGCUGAGGUCAACACUGAAACAGACCAUUUCCCAAAACUCAAUGGAUAUAGGAUGAGCAGUUUGCAUGGCUCACCGAGACUCUGCCUGGCCAGCACGGCUCUCCCUGACUCCGGAUACUGAGUGCAUGUGGGAUCUUAGUUCCCCAACCAGGGAUCAAACCUGCACCCCCGGCAUUGGAAGCGCAGAGUCUUAACCACUGGACCACCAGGGAAGUCCCUAAAAUCAGCAUCUUUUUAAAGAGACUGAAUGUUGCAGGCCUUUACAGGUAAAUCUCAGGCUAAAAAAACCAUGAGAUGCAAGAUGGGAUGCCAGUGACAUCAAAUGAGGAAGAUUCAUAUCUCCUGAUGCUCCAUGUUACAAGAUGAAAAUAAGAAAAUUACUCUGGAGCCAUAUGACUACAAAAAAAAAAAAAAAGGAACCUUGAAGAUGCAGAAUGUAUGAAAAUAUGUAUUACCUCUGUAUGACUCAUUUUCACUGUUGAAUAACAAACUUAAAGUGCAUUACAUCUGAGAAGCAAAGGACAUCUCCCUGAAAAGAAGAUUCUGUUGUGAAAGCCUGGGUUCCAGAAUGAAGACACAUGGAGCAGACCAGAACCCAAAACUAAAGUCUGGAGUCCAGCCUAGUCCAACCAACAUCUAAACCACUGAAGAACCAUGAAGUGUCUACCUGAAGAACCAAGAGCAUGAAAUGCAGGGAGCCAGAGAUUUCAGGGUUGUUAUGCAGCAUUCCUUCCUAUAGUAUGAGAUCUUUUAUUGUUCAGGAUAUCAUCAACGUCAGGAUCUCCAUUGUUCAUCUUUUUUCCCAUUAACAUUUACUAAUUCAUUCACUGAAUAGAUAAUAACAUGGUCCAAAGUUAAAAAGGUACAAAAAUAUACAGUGGAAAGUCUCUCCCUCAUUCCACUUUUGCCUUACCAUCCAGAUCCUCUCUUCAAAGGCAACCAAUAUUCUGCUAUCUUUCAGAUAUUUUAUAUAUAUACCUACAGACACACACAUCUUUUGCUUUUUAUAAACUGGUGACCUACUUUUCUGAACCCCCCCCAUAUGUAUCUUGGUGAUUACUCAUUUCCUUAUACAACAAGCUUCUUGUUUUUUUUAUGGCUAUAGAAUAUUCCAAGGAAGCGUUGUACAUUAUUUUACCAACCAUCUAUCAAUUAAAAUGAGAUUGUUUCCAAUCUUUUGCUAAAACCAUAUUGCAAUGAGUGGCACUGUACUUAACAUUAUUUUCACAUGUGUGUAGACAUAUCUGUAAGAGAAAUUCCUGUGUCAAAGGGUGUAUUCACUUACAAUUAUUUUUUAAGAAAUACAUUUCAUUUUUGAAUAGGUAACAUACGCACAUGGUACACAAUUUUAAAACAGUUAACAGUAGUUAAGUCUCCUCCCAUUUUUCCCCCAGCCACAAUGUUCCUUUCCCUUCCCAGAAGCAACCACUGUGACUAACUUACUGUGUAUAUCUUUCCCUUUAUGUGUGUGUGUGUGUGCACGCACGUGUGUGCGCGUGUGCAGAAUUCUCAUAUUUGAGCCUGAAGGGUAUCAGACUGGCUGCAGAAAGUUCUGGGGUUUAAACUGGGGGAUGAUGGACUUCAAUCUUCAUUGUCCCUGUUUUCAUAAAGGGAGCCUAGUAACUGUGCCCGGGGUCCCCUGGUUCAAAGAUCCUGCUUUACGUUCUCAAGAGACCAGCCUCCAGUCUUCUAAUGGGAGAGAAGCAGAAUCCAACGAUGUGACACGGGGAGAGAGCGCCGGCGGUCUACCUACUUCUCCGGCGCGUUUCACCGAGUCAAUCCAGCGACCCCGCUUGUUCGACUGGCAAAUAUGUACAGAAUCCAACCACUUCUCACGCUAACACCAGACCCGCCGGAGCCCCACCGCCGUCUUUGCCCGGAUUAUUGAAAGAGUCGGCCAAAGGGCCUCUCGUUCCCACGCCCGCCCGCCACCUUUCCGCUACUUAUCGACGCAGUGGCCAGCUGGACCCCAUUGAAAGGGAGAGAGAAAGCAGUGUGAGGACAGAAGCAGUGAGAGAUUUGAAGACACUAAGCUGCUGGCUGGGAAGAUGCAGGAAGGGGCCACAAGACAAGAAAUGUAAGAAAUGCAGCCCUAGAAGCCAGAAAAGGCAUCCUGCCCUCAGCCUCAGGAGGGACCCAGCCCCAUGAACACCUUGACAUUAUCCCAGAAACACUGUUUUCAGACUCUAAAAUCCAGAACUAUAAGAGAAUAAAUUUGUGUUGUUUUAAACCACUAAAUUUGUGGUAUUUUGUCACAGCAGCAAUAGGAGAAUAAUACAAAACAUUAUUUGCGGACACCAAAACUUCAAUUUCAGAUGAGUUUCACAUGUCAUCAUCAUCAUUAUUAUUAUUCUUUUGAUUUUUUUCAACCAUUUAAAAAUGUUAAAAUCAUUCUUAGCUUGCAGGCUGUACAAAAACAAGUGGUGGGCCAGAUUUAGCCAAAUAUUAGCACAAUUAAUCCAUCCAUGGAUUAAAAGAAUAAUACAUAAUUAGAUGUUUGGAGUUUUUAUAAUGGAGUUUUUACAAUGUUUCAAAAUUAGAGCACUAUUAAUGUAAUUCAUUAUGAAUUUAACAAAAACAAAUCAAAAUAAAACUCAAACAUUUAAAUAGAUGCCUAAAAAGCAUUUAAUAAGAUUUUAAUGCUCUUCCUUUUUAAUAAGUUAGUAAUUGGAAAUUUCGUAUUUUAAUAGCGGUUGUUUAUGAUAAAUCAUAACAAACAUUUUGCUUAACAGUGAAAAAUCAGUAGCAUCUUUGGUCACCCAGUCUAAAGUAGUCACCACCACCCAGCCCACUUUCUCUCUGUAAUAACUGGUCCUUAAUUGUCCUGCUUAUUUAUUUAUUUUUACAGGUUUAUUUCAUUCUUCUUUCAGAAGAGAUAGUGACUGUUCCCUGUUGUAUGCCCAGAACCUAAUACAAUGUCUGGCACAUAUUAGGUGCUUAAUAAAUACUUGUUGAAUAAAA